CGGUGUAGAGCUGUAAGAGGAAGAAACCCUUUUCACUCAGACUACAGUGAUCCUCUGACUUUAGACAUAUCUGGUAUACCUCAAACACAGCAGUGCAGUCUGGAUGGACAGAGGUCUUCCCUGAUGAAACAGUGACUCUGAGGUGUAUAAUUCAGAGCAGCUCUGCAGAGUGGAUAUAUGAAUGGUACAAAGAUGGACUGGAACUUCCUUUCGACGAGGCUGACUCCAGCUGUGUAAAUGGAGACACAUAUACAAUCCUCUCAGCUGAUCAGUCCCAUAAUGGACUCUACACCUGCAGAGGAAAGCUUCAGAGAGCUGGUGUAUACUCACUGAUUAGCAUCUCUGCUACAUUGAAUGUACAAGAAGUUCAAAUCAAAAACCAGCGUGAUGGGGAUGAGUUUUACUCCAGGUUAAAUGGAUGUUACAUAAGUGCAGAUCAUGAAAUACCCCUUACUACAGAAACUGGUCAAAAUACAAAUUUCACACCUGUGCUUGACAAAUUACCUUGGCACUAAACUAAAAAUCAUGAUACUUUGACAGAUGUUGUCUUCAUUUAUACAUUACACUCUAUUGACAUCAAGCUCCAUAUGUUCUUCCAAUGUUUUCCCUCAACCCCUCUGAUUUAUUGGCAAUAGGUUCUGAAGCAGUCAUCGGCCAGCAUUGUUUCUACUCAGCUGUUCAGUUGACACCAUUAAACCAAGGUCCUGUUCUAUAAGUGGACAUGGGAAUCCAUAUUCACUCAGUCUUACCUUCAUAUGUGAGGGAAUAGACUAUAUCAGGUAUAUCCCACUUUGUCAUACUAUAUUUUUUAAAUAUCUAAAAGAUUUAAGGUCACCAUGUUGCCCAUUAAAUCAUGAUAUGCUGUUGGAUCACU